GGUUAUUUAGUAUCGUGUUCAUGCUUUUGGCGCCAGAGUUCCAGCGUCUUCAGCGAGGGAAAGGUGUUGCUCACGAUGCUCCUUCUUCAUCUUAGCGUUUUGGCUUUGGUGGCGUCGGCGUCUUCAACUAACUUGAGAACGCUCCAGCUUAGGCAGUUCAACGCAGGACAAGAUGUAGCAUACAAAUCGAGUGGUUCUCAAGCUGGGAGCAGCAUCAAGAAGUUUGAAAAUUGUGACCAUGAUGUCGAGGUUAUUCCCCAAUGGCCAAAUUCAUGCCUCUUUCAGGUAGGGAAUUUAGGUCUGAGUUCUGUUGACUGGGUUCUUUGUCUUUGUUCUCUCUUUAUUUAUAUGUCUAUGUAUCUCUUUCUCUCUCU
rnacentral:lncRNA from 1 species